rnacentral:rRNA from 1 species
AAGAGACAGCAGCAGCCGCGGGAAUACGGAGGGUGCAAGCGUUAUCCGGAUUUAUUGGGUUUAAAGGGUCCGUAGGCGGAUCUGUAAGUCAGUGGUGAAAUCUCACAGCUUAACUGUGAAACUGCCAUUGAUACUGCAGGUCUUGAGUAAAUUUGAAGUGGCUGGAAUAAGUAGUGUAGCGGUGAAAUGCAUAGAUAUUACUUAGAACACCAAUUGCGAAGGCAGGUCACUAAGAUUUAACUGACGCUGAUGGACGAAAGCGUGGGGAGCGAACAGGAUUAGAUACCCGCGUAGUCCCUGUCUCUUAUAC